GCCAGGUACGGUGGCACGUGCCUGUAGUACCAGCUACACGGGAGGCUGAGGCUGGAGGAUCACUUAAGCCCAGGAGUUCUGGGCUGUAGUGCGCUAUGCCAAUUGGUUGUCUGCACCAAGUUCAGCAUCAAUAUGGUGACCUCCCGGGAGCAGGGGACCACCAGGUUGCCUAAGGAGGGGUGAACCGGCCCUGGUCGGAAACGGAGCAGGUCAAAACUCCCGUGCUGAUCAGUAGUGGGAUCGCGCCUGUGAAUAGCCACUGCACUUCAGCCUGAGCAACAUAGGGAGACCUCAUCUCU
rnacentral:SRP_RNA from 1 species